UGAAGAGUGAGGAUCUUAGCUGUCCCGUGACACUUCCUACGGCUGCCAUAGGGUCUCAGAAGGCGGUAAAAAGCUGAAUCGUGGCUUUGCAGGCUCUGGCUGAAACAAAGUAGCGCGUUUGGGUAGUGGCUGGUUACAGUACUGUGAGACUCAGGCUCGUGCCCGCAUCGACCGAAAGCUUUGUUUACUUUCCUCAGUUUAGCUAAAAGAAGAUUCCUGGUCGGAAUAUUAUCGCUUUUUUACGAGAAAAUGGCAUAAAAAUGGAUUUUAAACAGCGGUUGACAUGCUUCGAAGUACGGUAAUGGAAUAUUUAGAUUUUUUUUGUCACGAAUUGCGCCAUGCGCACGACCCUGAUUUACCAUUUCAGAUAGUGUCUGGGACGCACGAACAAAACGCCGCUAUUCGGAUAUAACGAUGGAUUAUUUUGGACCAAACCAACAUUUGUUAUUGAAGUAGCAGUCCUGGGAGUGCAUUCUGACGAAGACAACAAAAGAUUAUGAAGUUUGCCGUGGUUCAGUUCCUGGAUGAAAAGUAUGGCUCAAAGAUGACAUCUGUUAUUGGCCACCACUCAGCCUCAGAAAGAAGAACAAAAUAAACAAUUUAGUCAUCAAGUGUGCACCACCAGACAGCACCUGGGAAAUAAGUUGCUUUUAGUUCAUGAAGGGAGCAGCGGUUUUCAGUGUUGAAACGACAGAUGAUGAGCAAAUAAGAAAACGGAGAACUGCAAAUAGCAAGUACCCAUCCCAGGAUUCUGAUGAAGGUGAACAUGAGUCAACUCUUCCAGACGAACUGCCAGUCCCAUCGUAUCAGGAGUCUCUAUCGAACCAUGAAAACAUUGCAGUGCCAGCAGACUUUAGAGCUGUUGUCUCCAGUAUAACACAGUUAUACACACUUCAAGCGACCAAGAGUCCGAAUACAAGACAAGCGUCAUAUUCCACCAGAGGAGGUUGUUGGCACCUUAAUUGGGGAGGACGGGCUCGUGGUAAUGGCUAGAGCGGAAAAGGUGGAAUGUUUGAUGCCGUUCCAUUUGCUCCGUUCCAGCCAUUAUUAUGAGCCCAUUCUGCCCUCAGCAGGAUCCACUGUAUUCCACAGCAUCAUAUUCACCACAGCAGCAUGUGGAUGACAGCCAUGGAGGGCCUACAAUGAGGAACUUCAAUGGGCCAAAUUAUAUCCGUAGACAUGAAGGUCCGGGUGGUAUCGGAUCACUGAGUGAAGAAGUGACGCAAGUUGCUACCAUGCUAAGGACCUUUGCUGCUACUGGGCAAUCAGGUCUGAUAUAACACUUUUAAUGCGGCAUAUGGGAACAGUGAAUGAUCGAACGCUUGAGAUGGAUAACAAGGAGCCAUUCACCAGAACCCUGAAAUCCAGGAUGCCACGGACAAAGUGGUCCAGAUUCAAGUCACCCAUUACCUGAAAGGGGCCUCCGAUCAUGAAGGUGAGAGAAGGCGGCGCACAUGGGAGCGAAAUCUGCUGCGGUGCGGGUCAACAUCAAGUCUGCCCUUAUUUUGAAGAUGUCCUCCAGAGACAGGUGUUUUAUACAACAGAAUUCUGUGUUCUCUUUAGGACUCUUUCUGUAUUUGGCAAUCAUCUCUCUGUUUCCAAUUGUAUAAAAAAAAGCUACGUUAUAGAAAUUUUAUAGACAGAAGCACACUACAUGGCAGACCAAUCUGAACUAAUUUAUCGGCAUGUCCAGCCCAUCCAACAUCUCAGCCAAUCAUGACUAGCGGGAAGGUUCCUGUAUUUUUCUAUGCUCGUAAUUUAGCAAUUGUAUUAAUAUCUACAGAUGGCAUACAAGUUUGUUAUUAAGGCACAUGGAAAGUUCACGUUCCA
rnacentral:lncRNA from 1 species